AGAGUUUGAUCCUGGCUCAGGAUGAACGCUGGCGGCGUGCCUAAUACAUGCAAGUCGAACGAGAACGACGGUAUUUAUAUCGUCUAGUAAAGUGGCGGACGGGUGAGUAACACGUGGAUGACCUACCCCGAAGAGCGGGACAACCUGUGGAAACACGGGCUAAUACCGCAUAAGCUCACGGCUUUUAGAAACAUGUGAGAAAAACUCCGGUGCUUCGGGAGGGGUCUGCGGCCCAUCAGCUAGUUGGUGAGGUAAUGGCUCACCAAGGCAGAGACGGAUAGGGGGCCUGAGAGGGUGAUCCCCCACACGGGAACUGAGACACGGUCCCGACUCCUACGGGAGGCAGCAGUAAGGAAUAUUGCACAAUGGGCGAAAGCCUGAUGCAGCAACGCCGCGUGCCUGAUGAAGGCCUUCGGGUCGUAAAAGGCUUUUCUGGCUGAAGAGGAUGGACAGUAGGCCAGGAAUAAGCGUCGGCUAACUACGUGCCAGCAGCCGCGGUAAAACGUAGGACGCAAGCGUUAUCCGGAUUUACUGGGCGUAAAGCGCAGGCAGGCGGCAAAGAAAGUCGGAUGUGAAAUCUCCUGGCUCAACUGGGAGAGGCCAUUCGAAACUACUUAGCUAGAGGACAGCAGAGGAACACGGAAUUCCGGGUGGAGUGGUGAAAUGCGUAGAUAUCCGGAGGAACACCAGAGGCGAAGGCGGUGUUCUGGGCUGUACCUGACGCUGAACUGCGAAAGCGUGGGUAGCGAACGGGAUUAGAAACCCCGGUAGUCCACGCUGUAAACGAUGUCCGCUAGGUGUUGGGCUUAAAGCUCAGCGUCGAAGCAAACGCGAUAAGCGGACCGCCUGGGGAGUACGGCCGCAAGGCUAAAACUCAAAGGAAUUGACGGGGGCCCGCACAAGCAGCGGAGCGUGUGGUUUAAUUCGAGGCAACGCGAAGAACCUUACCUGGGUUUGACAUAUGAGUGGUACCAAACUGAAAAGGGCGGGACCUUCGGGAGCUCAUACAGGUGCUGCAUGGCUGUCGUCAGCUCGUGCCGUGAGGUGUUCGGUUAAGUCCGCAAACGAGCGCAACCCCUAUUGCCAGUUACAAGUGUCUGGCGAGACUGCCGGCUUCAAGUUGGAGGAAGGUGGGGAUGACGUCAAGUCAGCAUGGCCUUUAUAUCCAGGGCUACACACACGCUACAAUGGCCGGUACAAAGGGCAGCGAAGCCGCAAGGUGGAGCGAAUCUCACAAAGCCGGUCUCAGUUCGGAUUGCAGGCUGCAAUUCGCCUGCAUGAAGUCGGAGUUGCUAGUAACCGUGCGUCAGCACAGCGCGGUGAAUACGUUCCCGGGCCUUGUACACACCGCCCGUCACGUCAUGGAAGCUGGUAACACCUGAAGUCGGUGGGCUAACCUUUACGGGGGGCCGCUGCCUAGGGUGGGACUGGUGACUGGGACGAAGUCGUAACAAGGUA
rnacentral:rRNA from 1 species